rnacentral:rRNA from 1 species
UACGUAGGGUGCAAGCGUUGUUCGGAAUCAUUGGGCGUAAAGAGCGUGUAGGUGGCUUACCAAGUCGAUUGUGAAAGCCCUCGGCUCAACCGGGGAAGUGCAGUCGAAACUGGUAGGCUCGAGAACGGUAGAGGAAGGUGGAAUUCCUAGUGUAGAGGUGAAAUUCGUAGAUAUUAGGAGGAAUACCUGUGGCGAAGGCGGCCUUCUGGGCCGUUUCUGACACUGAGACGCGAAAGCGUGGGUAGCAAACAGG